rnacentral:rRNA from 1 species
CCUACGGGUGGCUGCAGUGGGGGAUAUUGCACAAUGGGGGAAACCCUGAUGCAGCGACGCCGCGUGGGUGAAGAAGCGCCUCGGCGCGUAAAGCCCUGUCAGCAGGGAAGAAAAUGACGGUACCUGAAGAAGAAGCCCCGGCUAACUACGUGACAGCCGCCGCGGUAAUACGUAGGGGGCAGGCGUUAUCCGGAUUUACUGGGUGUAAAGGGGGCGCAGAGGGCGAAGGAAGCCAGGAGUUAAAGCCCGGGGGCCAACCCCGGGACUGCUGUUGGAACUGCGUGGCUGGAGUGCAGGAGGGGCAGGCGGAAUGCGUGGUGUAGCGGUGAAAUGCGUAGAUAUCAGGAGGAACACCGGUGGCGAAGGCAGCCUGCUGGACUGCAACUGACGUUGAGGCCCGAAAGCGUGGGGAGCAAACAGGAUUAGAUACCCCUGUAGUC